AGGCCUUUAGAGGUCUGUCCUUGCUGAUUUGCAUAGGAGCGAGGGCUUGAGUAAGUCCGGCGGGCUGGCUCGGCUGUCAUUGGCCGGACGUGGGGAAAUGCGCUGAGAUGCAAACGCAGGCAAAUAGGACCCGCGGCGUCUGUCCGUCCGGCGCCAUCCCUCGGUGCCGCGGCCCACUCGGAACCCGGAGGCGGACGGAGGCAGGUUUGCAAGGGCAGAGCCGGGCAGCUUCCUGCUGCGAAGUGGGGUUCCACGUAGGGACCUGGAGCUGCAGGCACUGUUUAGAGGCUGGCUGGAGGGAGAAGACCCUUGACGUGGCGGACGAGCGCCAUGUCUCUGAGCAGCACCUUCGGGGCUGUGGGUGACCACCCUGGCAUCAUCACCUGGAGGA